rnacentral:rRNA from 1 species
GGACUACCCGGGUUUCUAAUCCUGUUUGCUCCCCACGCUUUCGCGCCUCAGCGUCAGUUACGGUCCAGAGAGCCGCCUUCGCCACCGGUGUUCUUCCCAAUAUCUACGAAUUUCACCUCUACACUGGGAAUUCCACUCUCCUCUCCCGUACUCAAGCCUUCCAGUCCCAAGCGCAAUUCCCAGGUUAAGCCCGGGGCUUUCACGCCUGACUUGAAAGGCCGCCUGCGCGCCCUUUACGCCCAGUAAUUCCGAACAACGCUCGCCCCCUUCGUAUUACCGCGGCGGCUGGCAC